rnacentral:rRNA from 1 species
CACGCUGUAAACGAUGGAUGCUAGCUGUAUUCGGUAUCGACCCCGGAUGUAGCGAAGCUAACGCGUUAAGCAUCCCGCCUGUGGAGUACGGUCGCAAGACUAAAACAUAAAGGAAUUGACGGGGACCCGCACAAGCGGUGGAGCGUGUUGUUUAAUUCGAUGGUAAGCGAAGAACCUUACCCAGGCUUGACAUCCUUGGAAGCUCUACGAAAGUAGAGUGUGCUUUUAGAGCCAAGUGACAGGUGA